GGAUGUGAAGGUGAACUCACUGCGACAUCUGUCACCUUACUGAUGGCCAGGGUUGACUGGGCUGAUUUGGCUGGCUAGGUGGGUGUCGCCUUCCUCCCUCACUGCUCCAUGUGCGUCCCCCCUGCAGCUGCAUGCUCAGUCAAAGAGGACGGCCUUCGCAGAAUAGAGACGGACCGGUCUUCGGUCGAGGUAUAUGAGUAGCUGCGCUCCCCUGCUAGAACCUCCAAACAAGCUCUCCAGGUCCAAGUUCAGUCCCUGGCACUUCAUGUACCACAGUGGUGCUCUGU
ensembl:misc_RNA 7SK 7SK RNA